CUCAGCUUUGUGAACUGUCCAACUGACUUCGCAUUGUCUAUUUGUUGAUCCACUGCCAACGUGAUGCAUAAAUUUACUCCAGCUUUUAUGAAGUUUUGAGUUGACACGGGACACUGGAUCUCAUGUAUUGCGUAGGUUAUCCUAACCAAUUGUCACGGCCAUUUAAGAGAAAACUAUUCACCCGUCGCACUAAGCAGGCCCUUGCCUCUGAUUGUGACUUCGCAGUAGUGCAGUCUUUUUAAAACAUCACUCGGACGCCCGCCAGCAAGUCAUGAGAUUAACGUUGGAAAGGUUAUGGACUCCUCAGCUUAUUUUACUUGUUGUACAACACUUUGAGCUCGGAGGUGUCAUAUUUUCGUCGGCAGGUGAGGUGGUACGCCCCAGAAGGGACGCUGGCGUUGGCCUGUCAGCAUUAUCAACCGCUACAUCAGUUGCUUCCUUCAUUACUUCGUUCAUCAAACAGGGGACCUGUGAAGGAGAAGGCUGCGCAUGGAAAGGAAAAUACAUACGAUUUUUAUUCUUUGGAGCACUCGA